UUCAAGAACCUAGAGCAAAAACACCAAAGCCAAGUGAGCAAUAGUAAACACAAAUCAAACAUGAAGACCUUCAUCAUAUUUGUCCUCCUUGCUAUGGUGAUGAGCAUCGCCAGUGCCACUAGGCAACUAAGCCCUAGAGGCAAGGAGUUGCAAACACCACAAGAACAAUUCCCCCAACAGCAAUUCCCUCAACCACAACAAAUCCUCCAACAACAAUUCCCCCAACAACAACAAAUCCCCCAGCAACCGCAACAAUUCCCCCAACAGCAAAUCCCACAACAGCAAAUCCCGCAACAACAAUUCCCCCAACCACNNNNNNNNNNNNNNNNNNNNNNNNNNNNNNNNNNNNNNNNNNNNNNNNNNNNNNNNNNNNNNNNNNNNNNNNNNNNNNNNNNNNNNNNNNNNNNNNNNNNNNNNNNNNNNNNNNNNNNNNNNNNNNNNNNNNNNNNNNNNNNNNNNNNNNNNNNNNNNNNNNNNNNNNNNNNNNNNNNNNNNNNNNNNNNNNNNNNNNNNNNNNNNNNNNNNNNNNNNNNNNNNNNNNNNNNNNNNNNNNNNNNNNNNNNNNNNNNNNNNNNNNNNNNNNNNNNNNNNNNNNNNNNNNNNNNNNNNNNNNNNNNNNNNNNNNNNNNNNNNNNNNNNNNNNNNNNNNNNNNNNNNNNNNNNNNNNNNNNNNNNNNNNNNNNNNNNNNNNNNNNNNNNNNNNNNNNNNNNNNNNNNNNNNNNNNNNNNNNNNNNNNNNNNNNNNNNNNNNNNNNNNNNNNNNNNNNNNNNNNNNNNNNNNNNNNNNNNNNNNNNNNNNNNNNNNNNNNNNNNNNNNNNNNNNNNNNNNNNNNNNNNNNNNNNNNNNNNNNNNNNNNNNNNNNNNNNNNNNNNNNNNNNNNNNNNNNNNNNNNNNNNNNNNNNNNNNNNNNNNNNNNNNNNNNNNNNNNNAACAACAAUUCCCCCAACAACAAUUCCCCCAGCAACCACAACAACAAUUCCCCCAACAACAAUUUCCCAUACCAUACCCACCCCAACAACAAUCACAAGAAGCUUCCCCAUACCAACAAUACCACAACAACACCUAUCUGGGAACGACGUUAUAAGUAUCAGUGGCCGAUGAAAUAAAGAGAUGUACUACUAGACAGGUGAAUCAUCGUUGUUAGUCAAUGGAGCAUAAUGUAACGGGUAUAAAUAAAAUGAUGUGCACCAUCAUGUGUAACCCCGACAUGUACUAGUUCAAACAUGGGAAUAAAAGACAAAUAAGUUCUUUUCUGAAGCACAUUGCUGGCAAUCGUUAUAUUCAUGCCAUAUUUCGAUUUCCAUCGGUAACUCCAAUCUCAAUGUUAUGGUCUAUCUACUUAUUUAUGAAGUGUAGUAUUAUGAACAUAACAUAAUUAACAUGUCUGAAAAUUGGCUCAAAUUGAAGUACUACUAAUUCAAGAGUAAGGAGUAAUUACAAUUUAACAUUUCAAUGGAGAGCUCUAAUUGUAGACUGCGUUGUUAAUUCCCCGAAGAGGAAAGGAUGAUGUAGUAUAGUAGAGAUAAGUGUUUCCCUCAGCUAAGAACCAAGGUUAUCAAUCCAGUAGGAGAACCGCACAAAACCUCGUUAGCAGCACCUGCACACACAAAAGCAAACACUUGCACCGAACGCAAAUAAGAGGGUUGUCAAUCCUCUUAGCGAUUAUUUGCAAGGAUUAGUUCUGACAGUGAUACAUAGAUAAAAUAAAUUACUAAAUAAAAUAAAAAUAAAUAAAUUGCAGCAAUGUAUUUUUGUGCUUUUAUAUAUGAUAAAAGUAGACCCGGGGGGGGCAUAGUUUUCACUAGAGGAUUCUCUCUUGAUCAUAAAACAUAUGGUGGGUAAACACAUUACUGUUGGGCAAGCUAUUAUAUACUAAAAGGAAAAUACUGGUCCAAAAUAGAGAAUAGGCUAGAAAAUCUGGCGUUAAUUAGAAAAUAUGAACCCUUGAUCCGUUUAAUUUUAAAAAUUAUAAAUCUAUGACCGUUCAAUAUACGUAACAAGGUCGGGCGUGGAUAACUUCCCGCGUAACGUGACACAUGUAAGAAACACAAACAUGAGUCCAGUUAAGGCAAACACGUAGAUGUGUUGAAGUGGGAAUGAAUAGAAUUGCUACGUCCGAAUAUGCAAGAGAUAGAAAAGAUGAAGAAAACUAAAGAACAUGUCGUGUUCAGAUUGGACUAAACGUAUGUGCGUAUACAACCACAACCACAAUCCGAAAGAUCCAGCCAUUAAUCCCGUGGGUCCAUCCAAAACAAAAGGUGGAUAUCCAUCUAAUUGCCCCACGUCCAUGGAACAUACUUAUUAGAGUCCACAAACAGUAGCCGCUGGUCUCUUUUACGUGAUCCUCCUUGCACUGUUAGGACUUUGCCGUCGGACAUCCUUAAGUUCUUGUGAAGUUCACAUCUAAAAAUACUAUCAUAGUAAAAAAAUCCAUUUCAUACUCCAAGAAAGAUAUCACCAUCCCAAAGUUUCAAUUGCAAUCUAAGUUUUGCCACAACUGGGUAUUUAAAACUUAUUUUACCACAGCUCGGCAAUUUCAGCCACUAAGGUUUUUGUGGCAGAUGAAGCAUCUUCCCAUUGGAAACUCCCAACUGUAAAAAGACUAGCAAAUUAGCAAUCAUUGGCAAAUCAGCAAUCUUAUAGCGGCAGCAGCUCCCAUCAAUCAGGUAACUCAUCUUCCAAAAAUCAGAGACAAUAAGCAACCAUACACAUCAUGCACAUAUGAUAUUAACAUAAUUACAUAUGUGAUUUCUGUGUUGAAUUUCGUACAACAUUACCAUGAAGAGAAGCGCAUCCACAUGGCAAGUAAUUUCCAAAAGCCGCCAAAAAGGUGAAAAGCAAUCAAAUAUGCAAUCCAACAAGUUAAUUAUUAAGCUAUAGACCAUGCAUGUUUCAGUGGUGCAUACAAGAUCAGUAGAACAAAUUCCUAGCCGUUACGACAUUCAUCAGGGAGGCGAGGACUAUGAAGCGACGGGUUGCGAGCUGGAGGGAAUGGCGGCGCACCCCGUGUCUCAGCCGAGAGAGGAGAGGCCGGGGAUAGAAUUAAGAGAGACACGAGUGAUGUCAGAUGAUAGGCUAGGGAUCGUUGGGCGUUCUCACAUAUUGCGUGGAGGAGGUUAGCUAAAUGGGCCAGCACAAAGGCCCAGUCAACCGCAGGUGGCAGAGUUUUCUCCCAGUGCAGCAGCCCUUUAGGACAGUUGAGCCAAGAAAUAUAGUUACAAAAUUAGGAAUUCAUCCAACAGUCAGAAAUGAUCUAUACAAGUGAUCUGAUAGUUACAAAUGUUGAAUGCUUGAGAGAGCUGGGAUAAGGCUAAGUUUUACUGUCCUAAAUGUAUUAGAUAUGUAGAAUCUGACAGUUAUUAAAGUUUAAUUGUCCUUCAGAAAAAACUAUGGCUAAUCACCACUACGCUAAUUACUUUUUACAAUUGUUGUACAUGAAUGGGGGUUAGGCAAGCGUAACACUGCUGAUGAGGGUCCCAAACCCGAUAAAGGUGGAGGGUGCAUAAUCAAAUUAACAUCUAACACUAACAUGCAAUACCUUUUAAGUUCAUAUAUUGAUUCAAUCGCAAAAGGGAAAAAUGAAACAAAAGUAGGCAGCGGGACCUGGAAGUCAACAGAGGAAACAGAAGGGUAUGCUCAUCGUGUGGAAUCGUUUGUGGGGGGCGAGCUGAGUAAACAGAGGAAGGUGAUCGAACGACGUCUCAGGUUUAUUUGUUUACUGAACAGACAGACAUGUGUAAGUUUUUUUUCCCUUUGAGGGGAAAGACGUGUGUAACUAGGGAGGGAUGAUUUUGCACGUUCUGUAUUUUUUUCCACCAGAAAACAGAUACUACUUUAACAAAUAAAUCCUACACUAAAUAUUUUAUAUGCUGCAAAUUAUAGGCCACAUACGCAUGAGCCUAAAUUAUAGGCGACUAUUUCAUAGGGUGAAAGUAAACAAAAUAGAAAAUCUUAUAGGCGACAUGAGCAUGAACCUAAAUUAUAUAUUUUAUAUGCUGCAAAUUAUUUUAAAAACAUGUGAAAAUAUAGUGCAUGAUCAUCAGACCAAAAACUCUAGCCUGUACAAAACACUCAUAUUUAGACGUAUAUUUCAUAUGGAGCUGCCAAUUCAUAUCAAUCCGGCACUACAACAGUAACACUAUCGUGCAGCCGCUUAAGUCAAAUCUAAAGUUAAAGCUAAUCAACACAAAAUAUCCAAUGUAAAAGGAAUUACUUAUACUAAAAAUAUAAAAUAUACCUAAGAGUGCGAAAGAUGACGAAUAUUUACUAUAAGAGUGCUAGCCCUCGCAUUUGCGAGGGCCACCUUGCUAGUUGAUAAAAAACAAAUAAUUAUGAUGGAUUCAUGGCAAUGAUCAUGUAUAUAGGCAUCACGUUCGAGACAAGUAGACCGACUCCCGUCUGCAUCUACUACUAUUACUCCACCCAUCGACCGCUAUCCAGCAUGCAUCCAGAGUAUUAGGUAUAAAACAGAGUGACGCCUUAAGUACGAUGACAUGAUAUAGAUAAAGUAAAUUCAAGAAAUAUGAUUAAACCCCAUCUUUUUAUCCUUAAUUGUCAGCCCAUUGGCUGUUAUUUUCCCCGAUCUGACCAUCCGUGACGCUCCUGUUGUUCGCAACGCUACCGCUACGACUGCGGGAGCAUGUCAUUUUCGUUAUACAUGUAACCCAAAAAUAUCUCUAACAUUAAUGACAACAAUACAAAUACGUGUUAUGUCCCUUUUUGUCACUGGGAUUGAGCAAUGCAAGAUUGAAUCCAUCACAAAGCACCUCUCCCCAUUGCAAGAUAAACCAAUCUAGUUGGCCAAACCAAAUCGAUAGAUCAGGGAGAAAUAUAAAGCUAAAAUAAUCACGCAUAAAAGAGCUCAGAGAAGACUCAAAUAUUUCUCAUGAAUCAUAUGAUCAUAAACUCACGAUUCAUUGGAUCCCAACAAACACACCGGAAAAGAAGAUUACAUCGGAUAGAAAUCCAAGAACAUCGGGGAUAACUUUGUAUUGAAUAUCAAAGAGAGAGAAGAAGCCAUUUAGCUACUGGCUAUGGACCCAUAGGUGUGUGGUAAAAUACUCACACAUCAUCGGAAGGGCAGCAUGGUUUAUGUGGAAGCCCUUCGUGAUCGAUUCCCCCUCCGGCAGAGUACUGGAAAAGGCCUCCCGACGGGAUCGCGGAAAAACAGAGGCUUGCGGCGGAGAAAAAGUUUUCUCAUCUAUCUCUCUGGUGGUUAUGGAAUAUUUGUGAUUUAUAGUGGAAGAAUUAGGUCAGGAGGUGCCACGAGGGGGCCAUAAGCCUAGGGGCGCGGUGAUACGUCCAUUUUGCAUCAUGUUUUAUUACAGUUAUUUAUUAAGUUUUGAGCUAAUAUAACACUUCAUGGAGUAUUUCUAAUGCAUUUUCUCUCUUAAUAUGCAAGGUUUACACAAAGAGGGAGAAUACCGGCAGCUGGAUUUCAGGGCCUGAAAAAGCUACAUCAGAGAUCCCUAUUCUGCACAUCUCCAAAUGGGCUGAAAAUUCACGAAGAUUUAUUUUAGAAUAUAAAAAAAUACUGGGCCAAAGAUCCACGGGAGGAGGCCACCCAGGUGCCCACACAGCAAUAGGGCGCGCCCCACCCCUAGGGCGCGCCCUGAUGCUGUAUGAGGCCCCUGGCCCAAUUCAGGCCCCCUCCUUCUGGUAUAUAAGUCAUUUUACCAUAAAAUAUUUAUGGGGAGACUUUCAGGACGAGGCGCCGCUGCCACGAGGCGGAACUAGAGCAGGAGAAAUUUGGCUCUCCGGCGUGCAGAUUCCGCCGGGGAUACUUCCCUCCGGGUGGUGGAAAUCGAAGCUUACGUCAUCACUAACAACCCUCUCAUCGUGGGAGGACCAAUCUUCAUCAUCAUAAACCACAACACCAUCUCAUCUCUAUCCCUAGUUCAUAUCUUGUAUUCGAUCUCUGUGUCAAAACAUUAGAUUGGUACUUGUGUUUGACUAGUAGUGUUGAUUACUUAUCGUAGUUGAUGCUAGUGGAUUUGUUUGGUGAAUUACCAAAUGUUCUGAUCGUGCAUCCAAAUUAUAUUCUCUCUGAUCAUGAACAUGAUGAUGAUGUGUGAGUAGUUACUUUUAUUCUUGAGGACAUGGGAGAAGUCUUGUCAUUAGUAAUCAUGUGAUUCCGGUAUUCGUUCAAUAUUUUGAUGAUAUGUAUGUUGUGAUUCUCUUAGUGGUGUCAUAUGAACGUCGACUACAUGACACUUCACCAUUGAUGGGCCUAAGGGAACUCAUUGUGGAGUAGUAAUUAGAUGAUGGGUUGCUAGAGUGACAGAAGCUUAAACCCCAGUUUAUGCACUAUUCCGUAAGGGGCUGAUUUGGAUCCACUAGUUUAAUGCUAUGGUUAGACUUUGUCUUAAUUCUUUUUUCUUAGUUGCGGAUGUCGGUGUCAAAACCGACAGAUCUCGGGUAGGGGGUCCCAAGCUGUGGGUCUAGGAUCAAUAGGUAACAGUGACGAUGAACACGGUGUUUUACCCAGGUUCGGGCCCUCUGGAUGGAGGUAAAACCCUAUGUCCUGCUCUUGUUUGUAUUGAUGAAGUAUCAAGGUACAGAGUUGAUCUACCUCGAGAUCAUAUGUUCUGGUCUAAACCCUAGGGGUAUGAUCAGUAAUGUCAUAAUGAUGAUAAUAAUCUAUCGACUAGCCUGGCCUCGGCUUAUAUAAUGUACCAGAGGCCUAGGAUAACAAGACACCUAGUUAGCUAUGUUGGUGGAGAGGAGUCCUUGUCUUGGUCACCAAGUCUUGUGGAAUCUUUCCUGUAUAUGUCAUCGGUUGUCCGAACUGGCCCAUUAGUGAGGUCCUCGGUCCGACCCACUGGUCGGGAGACAACGUGGUGAGUACCCCCUAGUCCAGGACACCGUCAGCGGAUGCUUGCGAGAGGGGGUAAUCAUAAGUGGGAGGCUUGUUCAAGUAAGAACAGCACCCAAGCACCGGUCCACCCACAUAUCAAAUCAUCAAAGUAGCGAAAGCGAAUCGAAUGAACAUGAUGAAAGUGACUAGAUGAAAUUCCCGUGUGUCCUCAAGAACGCUUUUCUCAUUAUAAGUACUAGUUCUGGCCUGUCCUUUGCACUAAAAAGGAUUGGGAUAUCUUGCUGCACUUUAUUUACAUUUGUCACUUGCUACUCGUUACCAAUUAUCUUGCUAUCAGACUACUCGCUACCGCUUGUUUCAGUGUUUGCAAAAAUAUCGUUAUUGAAAACCGCAAGUCAUUUCCUUUUUCUUCUCGUUGGGUUCGACACUCUUACUUAUCGAAAGGACUAUGAUUGAUCCCCUAUACUUGUGGGUCAUCACGCGGCCACCCACCUGGGGCGCUCCGUCCCUAGCUUAUCACUCCCUCGAGACUCCUCGGGUCUUCCCCGAAGCUUCCAGGGUCUCUUUUGGUCCAGAAAACUUAAUCCAAUGUUUUUCUGUGUUUGUACCUUUUUUAUAAUGAUAUUAUAAAAUGAUAAAAACAAGCAAAAAAUAACAACUGGCACUAGGCACUACGUUAAUAGGUUAGUCCCAAAAAAUGAUACAAAAAUAGCAAAAAGUUGCAUAUAAAACAUCCAAGAAUGAUAAUAUAAUGGCACGAAACAAUAAAACAUUACAGAUAGGAGGCGUAUCAAGCAUCCCCAAGCUUAUUUCUUGCUCGUCCUCGAGUAGGUAAAUGAUAAAAACAAAAUUUUUGAUGUGGAAUGCUACCUAACAUGUUUCAUCAUGUAAUCUCUCUUACGGUAUGAAUAAUAAGAUCCGAAUGAUUCAAAGCAAUAGUCUAUAAUUUGAUAUAAAGACAUCAAUACUCAGGCAUACUAACAAACAAUCAUGCCUUUCAAAAUAACGAUGCUAACCCAAGUUAUCCCUACAAAAUCAUAUAAUCCUAUCAUGCUCCAUCUUCUUAACACAAAGUAUUUAUGAUGCACUACCCCAAUGACAAUCCAGGCAAUUGGUUCAUACUUCUUAACGUGCUUCAGCUUCAACCCCCGCGCAAUACAUGAUGGCAAGCCAAGGACAUAACACUAUGGAUGGAAUAGAACAUGAUGAUAGAGAUCAAUAAGGGGAAAUCCAAAAUAAGAAGAUAGUCUCACAUCAAUGCGGCUAACAAACGGGCUAUAGAGAUGCCCAAAAAUUGAUGUCAAUGCAAGGAGUAGGGAUUCCCAUGCAACGGAUGCACUAAGAAGGCACCCAAGGUAAUAUCCAAGGAGACUCCAGCGUCGAAGCUUGGGGAUGCCCCGGAAGGCAUCCCCUCUUAAUUCUAAUGACUAUCAGUAACGCACUUGAGGCAACAUUUUUACUCAUCACAUGAUAUGAGUUUUUCUUGGAGCGUCUUGUAUGAUAUGAGUCUUUGCUUUGUUUAUUUUUAGUUUAUCACAAUCAUCACCUCUGAACGCAUUUGCUUGAGAUAGCUUCACGUCAUCAUGAUUUACUUGAAUUGCCCUUUGUGCUUCACUUAAAUUUGUUGAGCUAGGUGGUUGCUCUAGUGCUUCAUUUAUAUCUUUUUUAACACGGUGGUGCUUUUGUUUUGAAGAAACUUGUUCUCAUGCUUCACUUAUAUCUUUUUGAGAAUGCUAGAAAUUUUAUAAAAAUAUUAGUCUCAUGCUUCACUUAUAUCUUUUUGAGAGUUCGAAAUUAGUUAUGGUAAAAUGUACAAGCUAUAAGCUUGGUCUCCAUAUGAUGAAUAUUCAAGAAGGAUAAUGAUAACUAGUAUAAAAAAUUUAUGGGACAUGAAUAACUUGAUUCUUUGCAACAAUUUUGAGAUAUGUAGAUGAUAAUACGUGAGUUAUGUUCAUGAAUAAUUAUACUCUAGUAUGAAUAUUGAUGUUAAGGUUUAUGAUUCCCUAUGCAAGCACGUAAAGUCAAUAGUUAUGCAAUGAAGUUACAUCCUACUUGUGGUGCAUUAUUCGGUGUUGGUUAUGUUUUAUGUAUGCAUGUGCAUCAUUACAGUUUCUUAGUUGGUCGCUUCUCAACCAUUUUGCUAGCCUCCAUUCGUACUAAGCGGGAAUACUGCUUGUGCAUCCAUUACCUUAAACUUGUUUUGCCAAUUGUGUCCAUCAUACCUACAUAUAUACGGUAUUUCAUUGCCGUCCCAAGUAAAUUUGCAUGUGCCAUCUCUAAUAAUUUUCAAAAUAAACUUCUCUUUUGUGUGCCUGUGUUGCUCAUGAAGUGAUAAGGGGUGGACGAUGAAUUUCGUGUUGUAUAUGUCAUUUUCAUGAUGAGUGUUUAUUCACUUGUCAUUGCACGAGAGUGUGGCGGUAAUAAAAGGGAUGCCCAGUCCCAAAAAUAAAUUGAAUUUCCUGGAAUGUGUUGUUAUGGAGGGCACCCGUGAAUACGGCUAGACAUGGAUUGUGAAAGGAAAGGUGGAAAAACUAACUCCUUCGGAUGUGAAUGGAAAAAAGGGACAAAAGUCUCAAAACCAUGGAACGAUGACAGGGAGCAAACAAUUUCUUUUCAGUUUGGGAGCCGCCUUUGAUGUAUAUAACUUGGAUGGUAUCGAAAGCCUUGAGUCGUUGUCGUUGACGAGAAAAGCAGGCCUCCCAAAAUAAUUUUUUAUCUCUUUUUAAAACUUGAGGUCUGGCACCACUGUAAAUCAAUGCUUCCCUCUGCGAAGGUCGUUCUAUUUAUUUUUAUGUUGAGUCUCAUCCUUCUCAUUAAAAAACCAACUAGGGGGUCAUGUGAUCAUGUGUGCGCAUGGAGUAUGAUUGACAUUCGACUGUGUUUCAUAAAUGGAUCAAUGGUUGAGCAUAAUGGGCUAGGGAUAAUUUUCUUUAGCAUUGUUAUUUUGAAAGGCAUGGUUGCGUGUUAGCAUUGGAGGGGGUAUAUAUAGCCACCUCAUCGGUCCCGGUUUGUGGCUGGAACCGGGACUAAAGGCCACCCUUCUGUCCUGGUUCUAGGCACGAACCGGGACCAAUGGCUGUGGGCUAGGAACGAGGACCAUUGGUCCCAUUCGUGCCUAGAACCGGGACAAAUGGGUACACACGAACCGGGACAAAUGCCUGCCGAGGACCGGCCGGCCCCCUGGGCGCACGAACCGGGACGUAUGACCCCCAUGGGUCCCGGUUCGUGACUGAACCGGGACUAAUGGGCUGGCCAGGCCCCAACCAAAGCCCUGUUUUCUACUAGUGAGGGGCGACGCUCUGCGGAGUUCUCCCUCUUGGGGGCGUUGUCGUGGAGCUUAGGUGUGCUAGGUCGUAGCGUGAGCAUGUUUUGUUCUUCUGGUACUUGUUGCUGGUAGCAUAGAAGCAUGCGUUUUGCAUGUGCCGGAUAUCUCAGGAUCGACUUUGUAAGGGCUACCAAACCAUAUUGUAUCGUUUGACCAUGUACAGCUUUGGAUGUUGCUUUGUUUAUAAAGCAGGGCAAAAUCCUAUUUCGAGAAUAAAGAAAACAACAGCAACAGCAAACAGGUCAACAACUUCAGAAUAGUUUUUCUUUUAAAAUUUCACUUGCUUAAUUAACUACAUGCAUAGGACUUUCUACAGUGUUUUAGAGAAGGACAACUAUGAUUUGCUAGCUAGUUAGGUAUUUCAACAGAACAUUAACAGCAAGGAGAAGGAGAAGAACUGUUAACAACCAGGCAGGCAGGUGGAGAGUGAGUGUGUGAGAGUGAGGUCUCUCUGGCUUUUUCCUGUAUGGCUACUCCUACUUCCUUCGCUGACAAAGACCUGUUCUGAAUCCGUAAUACUGAUUCAUAGUAAUGAUGGUGGAUCGACUAUACCUUGACUUAUCCAUGUACAACAAAAAUUACUACGUACAUGAUUAAAAAUCCAAGGGUCAAAUCCUGAUCAAUUGAUCCAGCAAAUUCUUCAUGAAUCUAGCAUGACAUCAAGUGUGAUUAAUAGGAGUUUCAAUUAUAAUUAGCCUCCGAGAAGCUACAUGGAGGAGGAUGUAGUCGUGUUUUGUGGCCUUGUCAGAAACUUCGCUUUCCAUCAAUCUGAAAACAAGUGGUAGAGGGCAAAAGAAUGAAAAAAAACAUGUGUAGAGGAUACGCAACACAUAAAGGCCACACACACAAAAACAGCGGUAUGGUAGCUGGUCCAUGACAUUGACAAGUCAAUUGAUUUGCUGCAACCAUAUAUAUGUACGAAUAAUAUCGCCAAGGAUAAGAGAAGGAAAAAAUAUAAAUAUACCGAUAGGCUCUUAUUUAGUUCCUGGAUGCAUGUUGCAUGAGCCAAGUGUAUCGGCAGUAUGGCUUGUGUUUGCUGCAUGAUGGCGGCAGGUUCCCAUUCAGUUAGGCAUGCUAAGUCCUAAAUUCAUUUAUUCACGUAUCGGGUAGAAGGAGAACAAAUUUCAUUUCUUUUCUGUAGGUUCCUUGCUUAAAAGAAAAUAGAAAAUAUACACUUAUAUAAUUACGAGAAAAAAUCAACUGUAUGUCGCUCAGUCUUCCCUUUUUGUUCCGUAUCAGUAUCAACAAUCAUAGUACUAAUAGCUUUCUAUACUGGCGCUAGUAAAUUCAAUAAAAGAAACAUGGAGACUAUCUGAACAAUUUGAAACAAUAUAGACAAACUGAGAUCAACUAACAACAGAAAUCCAAAAGAAAUGUUCAUGUCUACGUGGAGUGAAUCGAUCAAGCCGUGCAAAGCCCUAACAAUUUGUUUUGUAUUAAUAACUCAUAUGAUAAUACAACUCCUCCAUAUGAAAAGGUAAUAUGAUGAUUCAUGAAUGCUUAUCCAUCUUAUAAAUAUAUUGUGCACAAAAUAUCGAGUUAGUUCAGAGAAAACGGUGUCUAGAACAAUCUUCACAUUAAUAGUGUGAUCUAUCUCAAUGACUCACACAAGAUUACAAAGUUUGUUCCCUUAAGUAUGCCAAUCUGGAUACGCCUAACAAUAUGUAGAACAUGACAAACUAAAUCAGAACAAGGGACAAAAUCUAGAUCAAUGUUUGAAGUGUAAAGUGAAUACGAUGAGUCAUUUGUCGUUAUCAAGCAUUCCAUACACCUAGAUGAUAUGUGCAAGAACAAUCAACUAUGACGAACAAUCCAAAAUCACGAUAGUAAGUAGUACCAUAAUACACAACAUACCAAAUUAUUGUAAAUGAUAAGCUUAAGAGCACUUUUUCAAGAAGCAAGUGUGAAGAUUACAAACUUAGUUCCCUUAAGUUAUGCCAAUCUGGAUACACCUAACAACAUGUAGAACAUCACAAACUAAAUCGAAAGACGGACAAAAUCUAGAUCAAUGUUUGAAGUGUAAAGUGAAUACGAUGAGUCAUUAGUCGUGAUCAAGCAUUCGAUACAGCCAGAUGAUAUUUGCAAGAACACAACAUACCAAAUUAUUAGGUCGAUAAUCUUAAGUGCACUUUUUCAAGAAAAGAGUGGGAAGAUGAAAACAAAAUAUGUCAUGCCUGCUAUAAAUACGACUACACCAUGUGGGUCUCUUCCAUCAUCUAACCUUCAAGCACCUAGAGUAAAAACACCAAAGCCAAGUGAGCAAUAGUAAACACAAAUCAAACAUGAAGACCUUCAUCAUAUUUGUCCUCCUUGCUAUGGUGAUGAGCAUCGCCAGUGCCACUAGGCAACUAAGCCCUAGAGGCAAGGAGUUGCAAACACCACAAGAACAAUUCCCCCAACAGCAAUUCCCUCAACCACAACAAAUCCUCCAACAACAAUUCCCCCAACGACAACAAAUCCCCCAGCAACCGCAACAAUUCCCCCAACAGCAAUUCCCGCAACAGCAAAUCCCACAACAGCAAAUCCCGCAACAACAAUUCCCCCAACCACANNN
rnacentral:lncRNA from 1 species